GGGAGGUUGUAGCUUAAUUAAAGUGUCUGAAUAGCAUUCAGGAGAUGUGUGUUAGAGUUAUACCAGCCUUC
rnacentral:tRNA from 1 species